AGUGAACGCUGGCGGUAGGCCUAACACAUGCAAGUCGAACGGCAGCACAGUAAGAGCUUGCUCUUACGGGUGGCGAGUGGCGGACGGGUGAGGAAUACAUCGGAAUCUACUUUUUCGUGGGGGAUAACGUAGGGAAACUUACGCUAAUACCGCAUACGACCUACGGGUGAAAGCAGGGGAUCUUCGGACCUUGCGCGAUUGAAUGAGCCGAUGUCGGAUUAGCUAGUUGGCGGGGGAAAGGCCCACCAAGGCGACGAUCCGUAGCUGGUCUGAGAGGAUGGUCGGCAAAAUUGGAACGGAGAACAGUGCCCGACCCCUACGGGGGGCAGCAGUGGGGAAUAUUGGACAAUGGGGGCAAGCCUGAUCCAGCCCUACCGCGUGGGUGAAGAAGGCCUUCGGGUUGUAAAGCCCUUUUGUUGGGAAAGAAAAGCAGCAGGUUAAUACCCCGCUGUUCUGACGGUACCCAAAGAAUAAGCACCGGCUAACUUCGUG
rnacentral:rRNA from 1 species